rnacentral:lncRNA from 1 species
GUAAAAAAAUAAUAAAAUAAAAAAAAAAUAAAAAAAUACAUUCUGUUGCUUCUAACUCUAUUUUACAAGCAAGUAUAGCUGACAUCAAUCACAGCACAACCACUGACUUUAUCGUGUAUUUGAUUUCAUUAGUGCAGAUUAAUGUUUGAGAGCUGGUUGUGUAGUCUUAUUGGACUGCGUUUCAGUCAUUGUAAUAUUCAUUCCAUUGUCUGACAACAGAAACAUUAAAAUAUAGUAAUAAAAACAGUUUUAUUGAGAAUUAAAUUAAAUGGCUAAAUUAAAUUGCAAUAUGUGAGCAUAGGGAGGCAAUACAAUACGACGCACUUACUUCAUAAAUAUUCUAAUUAGUGCAUGAUGUCAUAUAGUUCAUGUUCUCAUUAUCUUUUUUUUUCACAAAUCGCAUCCUGAUUAUAAAUAGUAAUAGGCUGAAUUGCAAAAAGGUAGUCUCUAUUUCUAAUACAUGUGUAGCCAAGCCACUGGGAGGCGCUGUCGUUCCUAUUAUGAUAGGUAAGGUAACCCUUGAAAUAAGCACGUGCUUCCAAUUAGUAGAUGAGUUGCGUUCAAUGGUUUGUCGUGCAGGUGGUUGUUGGUCGUUGGGAGAACAAUUGCUGGAAGAAGUGCCGAGAGAUCAGUAA